UAGGGACCUGGUGGGAAGUGAUUCGAUCAUGUGGGCGGUUUCCCCUAUGCUGUUUUUGUGACAGUGAGUGAGUUCUCAUGAAAGCUGUUGGUUUAUAAGUGUUGGUUAAAAGUUCCCCCCCACCCCUCUACCGCCAUUAUGUGAAGGUCCUUGCUUCCCCUUUGCAUUCUGCCAUGAUUGUAAGUUUCCUGAGACCUCCCCAGCCAUGAGGAACUGUGAGUCAAUCAAACUUUUUUCUUUAUAAAUUACCCAGUAUCAGGUAGUUCUUUCUAUCAGUGUGAAAACAGACUAAUACACAGGGGACUUUCAGUCAAAGCUCAUUUUAACCAGCAAAUUCUAGAAACGCUCUAUGGUUGGUUGCAGUGAACUUUUAUUUAUUGAAUAAUAGUUUUCAGAUAAUACCAAAUAAUUACUAGCUUGUGCACUGAAGAAAUUUAGGGUGUUUUACAUAUCCAGCAGCCAAGAAUAGGUACAUACCAGGCAUUUAUUAAAGAGAAUAACCUUGGAAUCGUUUGAAAUGCCUAUUCUCUGGUGCCAUAAAGAAAUAGCACUUGAACCUAAGUUUAAUUUCUUCAGCAAGGCCAUUUCUAUACUUUCUGCAGAAAGGGUACACUCGCUAGCAGUUUUGCCAUGAGAGUACACCAGAUAAAGGAGACAGGAUCGUUUAUAACUUGAUGCGUCCACCUUACUGCUGUGUCUGGUUUGUAUUGGCUGGAACGUGACCUCACAUUCUAUAUUUUUCCUGAUUGGCUGGCAACUUAGAAUUUUUUUAAAAAGGCAAAGGCAGAGGAGAACAAAGGAAGGAGGAAUUAACUUGUGGAAUGCUGAGAAAGGUAAAAACACCUUCAAAUAAGGAAGAGGAACAGGCUAUGACCUAAUGCUUCCUUGGACCAGUAUAAGCACGCCAAGGCAAAUAUUUAGGCUAAACUGUGGGAGCUAAGAACAUAAAGUACAUUGAUUUCUUCAUUACGGCUAGCAGAUAUUUAAGAAUGUUAGCACAGGUCUUUGAAUAAAUUUUGCUUCUAAGAGAAGUUACUAUUUAUUCCUAAUUAGACAGGGAGGAAAGUCUUUGAAGAGGUACCUCCACUUUACUUUUUACAGAAUCAAUGCCCCAUUUCAUAUUUGUCAAAAGCUUAUUUGAGAAUAACAAUAUUUAGGGAAAAUUAGGAGAAAGAUAUACAUUUAAUCUAUUAAUCUAUGCACUGCAUUUAUUCUUCAUUCAUUCAUUCUCUCUUUUUUCUUUUUUUUAGGCAGAGUCUUGCUCUGCUGCCCAGGCUAGAGUGUAGUGGUGCCAUCAUGACUCACUGCAACCUCCACUUCCCAGGUUCAAGUGAUCCUCUCACCUCAGCCUCCCAAGUAGCUGGGACUACAGGCACACCCCACCCUUCCCAUCUAAUUUUUGUAUUUCUUGUAGGACAGGGCUUUGCCAUGUAUCCCAGGCUGGUCUCAAACUCCUGAACUUAAGUGAUCUUCCUGCCUCAGCUUCAAAAAGUGUUGGGAUUACAGGUGUGAGCCACUUCAGUCUGCCUUCAAUUCCUCUUUAUUCAACAAAUAUUUGUCUCUACCAUAUGCAAGAUCCUGGGCAGAGAAGUGCAAGAGGAAGCCCACAUUCUGGGGCCAGCUGGUCAGUGCAGGCAGCACCUUGGCCUUUGACCAGGACAGGGGCAGUGUUAUGUCCCCGCAGCCUUGCGGAAGGCCUUGGGUCUCCUCUGUGCUCCAACAUCAUCUCGGCCUGGACCCUACCUGUAAGUCUGAUUGUACCAUUUGAAAAGGACAGCGAUCCUAGGUUAAAAAUGUAUUCAAUCAUUUAAUCUAUUGGAAGUUUAAAAGUCUAUUUAUUUAAAAAAUAAACAUUUUACUUUUUACUUCAGAACAGUUUUAGGCUGUUGACAAAAAUGCAAAGAUAAUACAGUUUUCAUAUACCCCACACCCAGUUUUCUGUGUUUUUAAAGCCUUAUGUUCGUACGGACCAUUCGUUAUCCUUGAUGAAUCUGUACUGAUAGACUUUAACUAAAGGAAGUCUCUACUUUACUAAGAUGUCUUUAGCUUUUUACCUAAUGUCCUAUUUCUGUUCCAGGACAACACAUGACAUUUGGUUGUCAUGUUUCCUCAGAUUUCUCUUUACUAUCACUCUUUUCAGACUUCUCUAGUUUUUGAAGACCCUGACAAUUUUGAGAUAUACUAAUAAAGGUAUUUUAUAGAAUGUCCCUCAAUUUAGAUUUUCUUCUUCUUUUUUUUUUUUUUUUCUGAGAUGGAGUCUCAUUCUGUUGCCCAGGCUGGAGUACAGUGGUGCAAUCUCGGCUCACUGUAACAUCUGCCUCCCGGGUUCAAGCGAUUCUCCUGCCUCCCGAUUAGCUGGGAUUACAUCUGAUGCCACCACACCCAGUUAAUUUUUUUUUUUUUUUAAGACAGAGUUUUGCUCUUGUUGCCCAGGCUGGAGUGCAAUGGCACGAUCUUGGCUCACCGCAACCUCCAGCUUCCAAGUUCAAGCCAUUCUCCUGCCUCAGCCUCCCAAGUAGUGGGGAUUACAGGCAUGCGCUGCUAUGCCCAGCUAAUUUUGUAUUUUUAGUAGAGAUGGGGUUUCUCCAUGUUAGUCAGGCUGGUCUCAAACUCCCAACCUCAGGUGAUCCACCCACCUCGGCCUCCCAAAGUGCUGGGAUUACAGGUGAGAGCUACUGUGCCUCGAUUUAGAUUUUCUGAUGUUUUAUUCAGUUUGAGGGAAGAAGGCCACAGAGGUUAAGUGGGUUAUUAUCACAUCACAUAAAGAA
rnacentral:lncRNA from 1 species